GUGGGGAAUCUUCCGCAAUGGACGAAAGUCUGACGGAGCAACGCCGCGUGAGUGAAGAAGGUUUUCGGAUCGUAAAGCUCUUUCGUUAGGGACGAACGUGCUCUUUGUGAAUAAUGAGGAGUAAUGACGGUACCUAAAUAAGAAGCCACGGCUAACUACGUGCCAGCAGCCGCGGUAAUACGUAGGUGGCAAGCGUUGUCCGGAAUUAUUGGGCGUAAAGCGCGCGCAGGCGGGAUAUCAAGUCUGUCUUAAAAGUGCGAGGCUCAACCUCGUGAGGGGACAGAAACUGGUAUUCUUGGGUGUCGGAGAGGAAAGUGGAAUUCCAAGUGUAGCGGUGAAAUGCGUAGAUAUUAGGAGGAACACCAGUGGCGAAGGCGACUUUCUGGACUGUAACUGACGCUGAGGCUCGAAAGCCAGGGGAGCGAACGGGAUUAGAAACCCGAGUAGUCC
rnacentral:rRNA from 1 species